rnacentral:rRNA from 1 species
CCUACGGGAGGCAGCAGUGGGGAAUAUUGGACAAUGGGCGAAAGCCUGAUCCAGCUAUGCCGCGUGUGUGAAGAAGGCCUUCGGGUUGUAAAGCACUUUCAGUGGGGAAGAAAGCCUUGGGGCUAAUACCCUCGAGGAAGGACAUCACCCACAGAAGAAGCACCGGCUAACUCCGUGCCAGCAGCCGCGGUAAUACGGAGGGUGCGAGCGUUAAUCGGAAUUACUGGGCGUAAAGCGCGCGUAGGCGGUCUGAUAAGCCGGUUGUGAAAGCCCCGGGCUCAACCUGGGAACGGCAUCCGGAACUGUCAGGCUAGAGUGCAGGAGAGGAAGGUAGAAUUCCCGGUGUAGCGGUGAAAUGCGUAGAGAUCGGGAGGAAUACCAGUGGCGAAGGCGGCCUUCUGGACUGACACUGACGCUGAGGUGCGAAAGCGUGGGUAGCAAACAGGAUUAGAUACCCUAGUAGUC